rnacentral:rRNA from 1 species
CCUACGGGAGGCAGCAGUGAGGAAUAUUGGUCAAUGGACGGAAGUCUGAACCAGCCAUGCUGCGUGCAGGAAGAAGGCUCUAUGAGUUGUAAACUGCUUUUGUACGGGGGUAAACGCCGAUACGCGUAGCUGUCUGAAAGUCUCGUACGAAUCAGGAUCGGCUAAUUCCGUGCCAGCAGCCGCGGUAAUACGGAGGAGUCAAGCGUUAUCCGGAUUGAUUGGGGUUAAAGGGUGCGUAGGCGGGCGGAUAAGUUAGAGGUGAAAUCCCGGGGCUCAACUCCGGAAUUGCCGUUGAGACUGUUCGGCUGGAGUGCAGUUGCGGUAGGCGGAAUGCAUGGUGUAGCGGUGAAAUGCAUAGAGAUCA